CUGCCCCGAGCCCGCCCUGCUCCGCGCCGCCGAGAGGGCCGCCCAGUUCGCCGGGGACGACUUCGCCUACGGCGGGCCCGAGCUGGGCGGAGGCGGCGCCCUGGGGGUGCAGCUGGCCUGCGACGUGAAGCCAGGCAUGGUGCCAGGUGAAGUCUGGGAGGAACAGCAGUAUCAUUUUUCCCUUUAAGUUCUUCAGGUCAUCAAGAAUGGAUUAUACUUAUUAUGGCCAACGGCUGUCAUGGAUUUUUGCAUUCACCUCCUUCACGUGCCUCACUGGACCCUGACAUUCUCACCUGGCAGAGACAAGCAUCCUGUAUGUUGGAGGGAAAGCGGUAAACAGCACUGCCCACUAAACCACCUAAUACUGUGGAAGGCGCUGUCAGCAUGGAAGCACACAGUGAGCAAACCCAUGAUAACACGUGAGCUUCUGUGUCUGAGUUUCCAGAUGAGGACAACUGCACCCACAAAGGAUUUCCCUUCUUAUCUCACAGCCUGUGAGUGACACAGGUUGGCGGCAGCCCACACCCAAGACCACUCCAGCAAUCAUGCAAUUGGUGUGAAUGAGACCUGGGCUGAAGACUUACUUCUGUCCGGAUUGCACCAAGGGCCUGUAUGCAUGUUUUGCCCAUUCCAAACACUGGACCCAGUCCUUCACAAGGCACCAUUCUUUCCCAAGGGUGGAAGAAAAUCAUACUGGAUUCAUCAACAUCUAGCAGAAAUCCCAUGCACUUGGCAUCAGGAACAACAAAAUAAGCCAUAUCUACAGUGUUUGUUUUCCUUCAAGCUGGUGUACAGGCGAGCAUCUAGUAUUCUGCUGUGCCUCUAACAUUCUCUGCAUAUGCCUAAGACCUUUGAGACCUUCCUUUUGAACACAGAUGAGUGGACUUCCUGCAGUAGUGCAGAGAAUGCCUUCUUCAACCCCCAUUUGCAGCUGGAGUGCUGGGUCUUGGAAACGAGCAUGGUUCUGCAUAGCAAUUCCAGCAUGGCCUGCCUUCUAUUAAAAACAGAACAACGAAGUGUGGUAAUCACACCUCGAAGCAGGGGAAAUGCAGUUGCUGUUGUUUGUGGAGAGCUGCUACUCAAACAGCACGCAGUAAAUACGAUGGGGCAAAUCCAGGGGAAUGUUCCUGUCUGGUUACCAUGCUAGCACGUCACUCUGAGGCCAGCAGCAUGGGGUGCUUGCCAUUGACCUCUUCUCAGACAGCAGAGGAGCUGGAAUACACGUGGACUACCCAGGUGACCCUAAGGCCAUUUUCUGCCUGUACUGUCAUCAUCCACAGGUGGCGGAGACCUGUUGGCCCACCUCAGCCUAUGAGUGCCAGCUCUGUGACAGUGCAUGAGUAGAUCUGCAACGGUUCUUCAGUCACUGAGAGAAAUCUUCCCUCCAGUUUGCCUGAUAGAGAAGGCUGUGUUUUGGUGACCAUCCAUGUGAGGUGCUCUCUACUCAAAUGCUUGCUGAAGACCGUGCCUAGUACCAAUUAUCCAAGAUAAAGGCCACCACCAGGGGCUCUAGCUGAUUCCCAGCGCGAUGUCCGUGUUUGCAGGUUUAUCUGCAUGAGGCAGGUGACUCUCACUCUUCACCAGCUGCCUGCCAGAGCAGGCACAGCCUUGUUGUGGAGACCACACCAACAUAUUCAUCGUCGCUCCAUCCAAUAUCACAGCACCAUAGGUACUAUCUAGAAAGUUCCUGCCAACUGCAGCUGAACCACCACUUCUGUUGGCCAGGCUCAUGUGGUCAGAGGAAGAUACCAGAGUGCAGACCUGAACUCCCAUUUCAAAUCAGAUGAGACCAUUCCUCUGCAAAAUUGUCACUGCUGUUCCUCAGCACCAAUUUGAGUACACCUUACUCCAGAUGAAAGACUGGCAUGCCCAAAGAAGAAAUGCAGAGAGCCUGUUUUCAUUGUCUUAUUUUGUAUUCCUCUGUGUUUCUCCCCUCAUUCUUCAGUUGCCAUUAAAUUCUUCAUUUUUCCCAUCC